rnacentral:lncRNA from 1 species
CAUGUGGCCGUGCAUGAAUGAGUGUGUGUUUGUGUGCGUGCGUGCGUACGUGCAUGUGAGCAAAAGAGAAAGAGAGAGAGAGAAAAAGAGAGGCUGAUUUAGUAUGGGACGGGUGUUGUCUUCAUCUUACAACAGUCAAGAACUAAACAGCACAUUGCAGAAAGAGGCAGUUUCAGCCCAUUUAUGAAUCUUUUCAGGCAAUGUUCCCUGUUCAGAAAUGCAAAUUGAAUCAAUGUGAGUCUGACUUUUAGGACUUUCAAGUGGGCUUUAAUUAGCAGCUGAGGCACAGCAUUUUAAUGAGAGAGGGGGUGGAGGGAGAGAGAGAGAGAGAAAGAGAGGGGAGGAGAGAUGUUGUUCUGAUCAUAGUCCUGUAGGAGAGGGGUGAAGGACACACAUCCAGAGCUGUGGGUUUCUUAAAGAAGGAAAAAAACUCUGUCCUUCUUUAUUUCCCUCCAUCCGUCUGGCCAUCUGUCUGUCUGUCCGUUAGUCCUUCACCUCUGAGUCCCACUGCUAAGAGCCAGACGUGGAGUUUUCCUCCAACUCUGGUUCAGUGUUUCUACAUCAUAAAUUGUUUUGUCUCUGCCUCUCUUUCACUCUCUCUCUCUCUAUCUCCCUCUUUGUCUCUCUCUCCAUGUCUCUCCCUUUCUUCACGUCUCCUUGUCUUCCCCCUCUCCUCUCUCCCCCUCUCUCCAUGUCUCCAUCCCCCUCUUUCUCUCUGUCCAAAACAUGCCUCGAUUAAGAUCUUUCUGUCUCCCUUUCUCUCUUCCUGUCUCUCUCGUUCUCUCUCUCCUCUCUGUCUCUCGCUCUCUCACUCUUUCCGUCUCUCUCAGCUGUUCUAUCCCGCCAUAUCAUCCUCCUGUAAUUUUGUCGGCUAGAAGCUGACUAAGCCUCCCCAACCCAUCAGGUUGUUAUUUUGUGUUCGUGAGCGUCGAGUCUACAGGCUAGGAUGAUAAACGAUCAUUCUUCUCUACCUUUCUUUCAUUCUCUUUUCAUUUUCUCCUUCAUUCAUCUCUCUCUACACCCCUCUCCCUCUUUUCCCCUCCACAGCCUCUCUCCCUCUCUCCAUUACUCUCUCCCCCUCUCUAACUCCUAUUUCACUCCUCUCUCCUUCACUGCUCUACAACUUCUCUCCCCCAUCCCUCCCUCCUCCACCCCCCUACCUCCAUACCUCUCUCCAAUCCUAGGGUGGUGAUAAAAGGGUGCAGGUGUCAGGGCAGUGGUGUGUAAAUCCUAGGGUGAGGGUAAAAGGGUGCAGGUGUCAGGGCAGUGGUGUGUAAAUCCUAGGGUGAUGGUAAAGGGGUGCAGGUGUCAGGGCAGUGGUGUGUAAAUCCUAGGGUGGUGAUAAAAGGGUGCAGGUGUCAGGGCAGUGGUGUGUAAAUCCUAGGGUGAUGGUAAAAGGGUGCAGGUGUCAGGGCAGUGGUGUGUAAAUCCUAGGGUGAUGGAGUGUGUAUGUGUUUCAAGUUUCAAGUUUUAAUGUCGCAUUCACAAGUACAGUGAAAUGCCUUUCUUGCAAACUCAAAACCCGACAAUGCCAACCAUCAAUGUAAUACUAGAAACAAACACACGAGGACUAAGAAGAACACAACAAGUAGGAAAGUAAGAAUACCAUAUACAGGGUCAGUUCCAAUACAACAUUUACAAUGUGCAGGGACACUGGAGUGAUAAAGGUCGAUAUGUAUAGGGGGAAGGUGACUAGACAACAGGAUAAAAGAUAAACAGUGUAGUAACAGCUUGUAUGUGAGUGGGUGUGUGUGUGUGGAGUCCGUAUAAAUGUGCAGUACCAGUCAAAAGUUUGGACACACCUACUCAUUCAAGGGUUUUUAUUUAUUUUUACUAUUUUCUACAUUGUAGAAUAAUAGUGAAGGCAUCAAAACUAUGAAAUAACACAUAUGGAAUCAUGUAGUAACCAAAAACAUGUUAAACAAAUCCAAAUAUAUUUUAUAUUUGAGAUUAUUCGAAGUAGCCACCCUUUGCCUUGAUGACAGCUUUGCACACUCUUGGCAUUCUUUCAACCAGCUUCACCUUUAAUGCUUUUCCGACAGUUUUGAAGGAGUUACCACAUAUGCUGAGCACUUGUUGGCUGCUUUUCCUUCACUCCGCGGUCCAACUCAUCCCAAACCAUCUCAAUUGGGUUGAGUUUGGGUGAUUGUGGAGGCCAGGUUAUCUGAUUCAGCACUCCAUCACUCUCCUUUUUGGUCAAAUAGCCCUAACACAGCCUGGAGGUGUUUUGGGUCAUUGUCCUGUUGAAUAACAACGAUAAGCGCAAAUCAGAUGGGAUGGCAUAUUGCUGCAGGAUGCUGUGGUAGCCAUGCUGGUUAAGUGUGCCUUGAAUUCUAAAUGAAUCACAGACAGUGUCACCAGCAAAGCACCCCCACACCAUCACACCUCCACCUCCUCCUCCAUGCUUCAGGCCUGAUUCACACAGUCUCCUCUGAACAGUUGAUGUUGAGAUGUGUCUGUUACAUGAACUCUGUGAAGCAUUUACUUGGGCUGCAAUCUGAGAUGCAGUUAACUCUAAUAAACUUAUCCUCUGCAGCAGACGUAACUAUGGGUCUUCCUUUCCUGUGGCGGUCCUCAUGAGAGCCAGUUUCAUCAUCCAGUUUCAUCAUAGCGCUUUAUGGUUUUUGCGAUUGCACUUGAAGAAACGUUUCAAAGUUUUUGAAAUGUUCCAGAUUUACUGACCUUCAUGUCUUAAAGUAAUGAUGGAAUGUUGUUUCUCUUUGAUUACUUGAGCUGUUUUUGCCAUGAUAUGGACUUGGUCAUUUACCAAAUAGGGCUAUCUUCUGUACACCACCCCUACCUUGUCACAACACAACUGAUUGACUCAAUCACAUUAAUUAAU